UACGAAGGGGACUAGCGUUGUUCGGAAUUACUGGGCGUAAAGCGCACGUAGGCGGAUUUGUAAGUCAGGGGUGAAAUCCCUCGGCUUAACCGGGGAACUGCGUCUGAUACUGGAUGGCUUGAAUCCGGGAGAGGGAUGCGGAAUUCCAGGUGUAGCGGUGAAAUGCGUAGAGAUCGGGAGGAAUACCAGUGGCGAAGGCGGCCUUCUGGACUGACACUGACGCUGAGGCGCGAAAGCCAGGGGAGCAAACGGG
rnacentral:rRNA from 1 species